rnacentral:tRNA from 1 species
GCGGGCGUGGUGAAACUGGUAGACGCGCCGGACUCAAAAUCCGGUCUCUUCGGAGGUGUCGGUUCGAUUCCGACCGCCCGCACCA